rnacentral:rRNA from 1 species
GAUGAACGCUGGCGGCGUGCCUAAUACAUGCAAGUCGAGCGAACAGACGAGGAGCUUGCUCCUCUGACGUUAGCGGCGGACGGGUGAGUAACACGUGGAUAACCUACCUAUAAGACUGGGAUAACUUCGGGAAACCGGAGCUAAUACCGGAUAAUAUAUUGAACCGCAUGGUUCAAUAGUGAAAGACGGUUUUGCUGUCACUUAUAGAUGGAUCCGCGCCGCAUUAGCUAGUUGGUAAGGUAACGGCUUACCAAGGCGACGAUGCGUAGCCGACCUGAGAGGGUGAUCGGCCGCACUGGAACUGAGACACGGUCCAGACUCCUACGGGAGGCAGCAGUAGGGAAUCUUCCGCAAUGGGCGAAAGCCUGACGGAGCAACGCCGCGUGAGUGAUGAAGGUCUUCAGAUCGUAAAACUCUGUUAUUAGGGAAGAACAAAUGUGUAAGUAACUAUGCACGUCUUGACGGUACCUAAUCAGAAAGCCACGGCUAACUACGUG